GACGAACGCUGGCGGCGCGCUUAACACAUGCAAGUCGAGCGAAGCGGCGGACGGGUGAGUAACCCGUGAGUAACCUGCCUUAGACCUUGGGAUAGCCUCGGCAAACCGGGAUUAAUACCAAAUGGUCUAAGACGGACUCGCGUCCCAUUUGCUAGUUGGUGAGGUAACGGCCGACCAAGGCGACGAUGGGUAGCCGGCGUGAGAGGGUGAACGGCCACAUUGGGACUGAGAAACGGUCCAAACUCUACGGGAGGCAGCAGUGGGGAAUAUUGCACAAUGGAGGGAGCGCGAAUGCGGCGAGGCCGCGUGAACGAAGAAGGCUUUCGAGUUGUAAAGUUCUGUUAUAUGGGAAGCGGUACCAUAAGAAAAAGCCCCGGCGAACUACGUGCCAGCAGCCGCGGUAAUUC
rnacentral:rRNA from 1 species